AUGGAUGAAGAGUAGAAAAUCUACAGUGGUUUUGAAAGCCCUCAUGCCACGAUGUCAAAUGGAUAUCUUCAGAGUCAUAAAUUAAUGAUAAAAAGAGAACAUGCAUGAACAUCAGCAACAGUGAAAGCCAGGGAGAGUGGCCCAGGUCAUUUUGCUGAGAAGAAAUGCAUUGAGUUUAAUUUGAGAGACGUCCCUUCACAAGUGCUGCUAAAGGCAUACACAUAUUUUACCUAAAUGUUUCACUGCGCCUACAGUUCCACAGAAAUUCCUAAAUUCCCAUUUCACCUGAAACUGCAGUAGAACUGUUGAUGGCUGUGAACUUUCUAUAUUGU
rnacentral:lncRNA from 1 species